GAUGAACGCUGGCGGCGUGCUUAACACAUGCAAGUCGAACGAUGAAGCCCAGCUUGCUGGGUGGAUUAGUGGCGAACGGGUGAGUAACACGUGAGUACCUGCCCUUAACUCUGGGAUAAGCCUGGGAAACUGGGUCUAAUACCGGAUAGGAGCGUCCACCGCAUGGUGGGUGUUGGAAAGAUUUAUCGGUUUUGGAUGGACUUGCGGCCUAUCAGCUUGUUGGUGAGGUAAUGGCUCACCAAGGCGACGACGGGUAGCCGGCCUGAGAGGGUGACCGGCCACACUGGGACUGAGACACGGCCCAGACUCCUACGGGAGGCAGCAGUGGGGAAUAUUGCACAAUGGGCGCAAGCCUGAUGCAGCGACGCCGCGUGAGGGAUGACGGCCUUCGGGUUGUAAACCUCUUUCAGUAGGGAAGAAGCGAAAGUGACGGUACCUGCAGAAGAAGCACCGGCUAACUACGUG
rnacentral:rRNA from 1 species